UACGUAGGAGGCAAGCGUUGUCCGGAAUUACUGGGCGUAAAGCGCGUGUAGGUGGUGGGACAAGUCUGCUGUGAAAGCGCCUGGCUUAACCGGGCGAGGUCGGCGGAAACUGUCCGACUAGAGGACGGUAGAGGGGGGUGGAAUUCCCGGUGUAGUGGUGAAAUGCGUAGAGAUCGGGAGGAACCCCAGUGGCGAAGGCGGCCCCCUGGGCCGGGCCUGACGCUGAGACGCGAAGGCGUGGGGAGCGAACGGG
rnacentral:rRNA from 1 species